AACGAACGCUGGCGGCAGGCUUAACACAUGCAAGUCGAACGCCCCGGUAACGGGGAGUGGCAGACGGGUGAGUAACGCGUGGGAAUCUACCCAACUCUACGGAAUAACUCAGGGAAACUUGUGCUAAUACCGUAUACGCCCUUCGGGGGAAAGAUUUAUCGGAGUUGGAUGAGCCCGCGUUGGAUUAGCUAGUUGGUGGGGUAAAGGCCUACCAAGGCGACGAUCCAUAGCUGGUCUGAGAGGAUGAUCAGCCACAUUGGGACUGAGACACGGCCCAAACUCCUACGGGAGGCAGCAGUGGGGAAUAUUGGACAAUGGGCGCAAGCCUGAUCCAGCCAUGCCGCGUGAGUGAUGAAGGCCCUAGGGUUGUAAAGCUCUUUCACCGGUGAAGAUAAUGACGGUAACCGGAGAAGAAGCCCCGGCUAACUUCGUGCCAGCAGCCGCCGUAA
rnacentral:rRNA from 1 species